rnacentral:lncRNA from 1 species
UGCUUAGAUGCUUAAAAAGGAGAAACCAAAGAUAAGGACGGAAGCAAAGAUAACACCUUUGGUUGUGAAGCUCCAAGAAACUGAAACCCUCUCCCUUUCUAUUCUGCAAUCGGGUCGCUUCUGGUUUCUACUGCCAUGGCCUCUGCAACUUUCCCCUUUCGAGCUUCCUACUCUCCUCUGCCUUCUUGUCGCUUCAUCUUCUCCUCUUUGAACCUUGCUUCUUACCGUGGCUUAACGCGAGAAAGGCAGAAAGAAAGAGCUCUGUGUUGUUCUUCGACCGAGAAACAAAGGAGCUUUAACGGGGAG